rnacentral:rRNA from 1 species
AUUGAACGCUGGCGGCAGGCCUAACACAUGCAAGUCGAGCGAGCGGCGGACGGGUGAGUAAUGUAUGGGGAACUGCCCGAUGGAGGGGGAUAACUACUGGAAACGGUAGCUAAUACCGCAUACUAUCAGAUGUGCCCAGAUGGGAUUAGCUAGUAGGUGGGGUAAUGGCUCACCUAGGCGACGAUCCCUAGCUGGUCUGAGAGGAUGACCAGCCACACUGGAACUGAGACACGGUCCAGACUCCUACGGGAGGCAGCAGUGGGGAAUAUUGCACAAUGGGCGCAAGCCUGAUGCAGCCAUGCCGCGUGUAUGAAGAAGGCCUUCGGGUUGUAAAGCACUUUCAGUGGGGAGGCGUUACCGGCAGAAGAAGCACCGGCUAACUCCGUGCCAGCAGCCGCGGUAAUAC